rnacentral:rRNA from 1 species
ACUCCUACGGGAGGCAGCAGUGGGGAAUAUUGCACAAUGGGGGAAACCCUGAUGCAGCCAUGCCGCGUGUGUGAAGAAGGCCUUCGGGUUGUAAAGCACUUUCAGUAGGGAGGAAGGUAGUGUAGUUAACACCUGCAUUAUUUGACGUUACCUACAGAAGAAGCACCGGCUAACUCCGUGCCAGCAGCCGCGGUAAUACGGAGGGUGCGAGCGUUAAUCGGAAUUACUGGGCGUAAAGCGCAUGCAGGCGGCCUGUUAAGUCAGAUGUGAAAGCCCGGGGCUUAACCUCGGAAUUGCAUUUGAAACUGGUAGGCUAGAGUCUUGUAGAGGGGGGUAGAAUUUCAGGUGUAGCGGUGAAAUGCGUAGAGAUCUGAAGGAAUACCAGUGGCGAAGGCGGCCCCCUGGACAAAGACUGACGCUCAGAUGCGAAAGCGUGGGGAGCAAACAGGAUUAGAUACCCUGGUAGGAAAGCG